GCACUCCAAAACAGACCUCCUGAAAGCCAUCCAGGAAGCUAUGAAAUACACUUCUCAAUGAGUCUCCAGCCACAUUUCCUUAAUAUCGCUUAAAGCUAUCUUCAUGUAGAAUGAAGUGGAGUAGCAAGGACAGAUUUUUGGAAGGUAUCUGCAACAGAAAUUUUAUUAGAUUUUUCAGUUAAUUGCAUAUGUCCUCAUCCUUGAAAAAAUGACACCCUGUGUCAUAGAAAACAUGAUUGAAUCCUGAACACCAGAAGCUGAACAGCUCCCACUAUCAUUCAGCUGGAACCAGAAGAAACAACUGGGACAAUAACCAUGCAGCAUCAGAGAUCCUCAUGGCUCUCAGGUGCAUCACUAUCCAGGAUUGUAAAGAAUAAAGUAGCAGACCUUGAAAACCCUGGAAGAGGGCCAUCAAACCUGCUUCAAAGGACAACCUCUGUAACAGCACCCCAGAACUGGGAGAAAGCUUUGUUAACAGCUGAUCUCAACAUUUUUUUACUACUCUGUCAGAGACUGUCUCUAGUCAUACCUGGAAAAUCAUGGCUGAAAACAGACCUUGCUCUCUGUGAAUGGACAGUUCAGCAUAUCGCCUCUCCUGGGUACGGGGGUGAGAGUCUACCACCUAUGCCUAUGGUCUCUCUGCUUCACAAGGACUUCAGAAUACUUUUUAACCCCUUGCAAUGUGUCUCGGAAGAGUGGAAGAGCAUAUAUAUUCCAGUAAGCCCAGCAUGGACACAGCUAAGAAGGAGAAAGAAACUGGGGAUGAAUCACAGUUUGUGUUAUAAAUAUAUGACUUUUUAUGACACAACUGACAAAUUUCAGAGCUCAUUUUUAUGCUGA
rnacentral:lncRNA from 1 species